rnacentral:misc_RNA from 1 species
GAUGAAGAACGCAGCGAAAUGCGAUAAGUAAUGUGAAUUGCAGAAUUCAGUGAAUCAUCGAAUCUUUUAACGCACAUUGCGCCCCUUGGUAUUCCGAGGGGCAUGCCUGUUCGAGCGUCAUUAUAACCCCUCAAGCUCAGCUUGGUGUUGGGGCCUGCUGCACUGGCAGCCCUUAAAAUCAGUGGCGGCGCCAUCUGGCUCUAAGCGUAGUAAUUCUUCUCGCUAUGGAGUCCUGGUGGAUGCUUGCCAUCAACCCCCAAUUUUUCUAUGGUUGACCUCGGAUCAGGGAGGGAUACCCGCUGAACUUAAGCAUAUCAAUAAGCGGAGGA